GACUUCCUUGUCUUGGGGAGCAUAAUAUCCAAUGAACGUUUAGUGAGGAUAUUGAUGCUGGAUAAGUUAUUGAAAAUUUCAAUUCUUGUCAAA